UGGGGAAUAUUGCGCAAUGGGCGAAAGCCUGACGCAGCAACGCCGCGUGUGUGAAGAAGGCUUUCGGGUCGUAAAACACUGUCAGGUGGGAAGAACCCUACCCUUGAGGUAGCUGACGGUACCACCAAAGGAAGCACCGGCUAACUCCGUGCCAGCAGCCGCGGUAAUACGGAGGGUGCAAGCGUAGUUCGGAAUUACUGGGCGUAAAGGGCGCGUAGGCGGCUUGUCGGGUCUGAUGUGAAAGCCCGGGGCUCAACCCCGGAAGUGCAUUGGAAACUGGCAAGCUUGAGUUCGGAAGAGGAGGGCAGAAUUCCCGGUGUAGGGGUGGAAUCCGUAGAUAUCGGGAGGAAAACCAGUGGCGAAGGCGGCCCUCUGGGACGAAACUGACGCUAAGGCGCGAAAGCGUGGGGAGCAAACA
rnacentral:rRNA from 1 species